UCGGGUACUGUUCACCCGAGCUCGGGCACUGUUCACCCGACCCAAAAACCUUCUCCGGCCGAUUUCUCCACCAUCCGACGUCGCCUCGUGUCGUGCCACCUAUCAAACUGACGGGCUCGACGAGCUCCAUCUUUUGGGCUACGCCUUGCACUCCGGCGACAACCACACACGGUGUAGCAACCGCCGGAAGUUACUGCUGUGGCGGCGCCGCCUCCUCCGGCCACCAUGGCUCGAGAUUCUUGGGGGGUUUUGCUUGUCUCAGUCCCAGCAACAUUCCCACAAAAGGAAUCGAGCCAAAUCGAAGUGUGACUGACGAAACGAGUGAGGAAAUUACUUUCAGGGUCGUGGAAGUUGCACGCAGGAAAGAAGUGGAUGACUCCGCAGGUGUAGAUUAGCGGGAAUUGACGGACCGCUCAGAGAACUUGAAGUGAUUUACCUCCAGCUUGUGUGAGGAUUUUGUGUGACUAUUUUGUGAGAGAUUGUGAGGA